rnacentral:rRNA from 1 species
CUACGGGAGGCUGCAGUGAGGAAUAUUGCACAAUGGGGGGAACCCUGAUGCAGCAACGCCGCGUGGAGGAUGACACUUUUCGGAGCGUAAACUCCUUUUAUAUAGGAAGAAGAUGACGGUACUAUAUGAAUAAGCGCCGGCUAACUCCGUGCCAGCAGCCGCGGUAAUGCGGAGGGCGCAAGCGUUACUCGGAGUCACUGGGCGUAAAGAGCGUGUAGGCGGAUUAAAAGGUCAGAAGUGAAAUCCUAUAGCUUAACUAUAGAACUGCUUCUGAAACUCUUAAUCUAGAAUAUGGGAGAGGUAGAUGGAAUUUCUGGUGUAGGGGUAAAAUCCGUAGAGAUCAGAAGGAAUACCGAUUGCGAAGGCGAUCUACUAGAACAUUAUUGACGCUGAGACGCGAAAGCGUGGGGAGCAAACAGGAUUAGAUACCCUGGUAGUC